AACGAACGCUGGCGGCAGGCUUAACACAUGCAAGUCGAGCGAGAUCUUCGGAUCUAGCGGCGGACGGGUGAGUAACGCGUGGGAACGUGCCCUUUUCUACGGAAUAGCCUCGGGAAACUGAGAGUAAUACCGUAUACGCCCAGUAAUGGGGAAAGAUUUAUCGGAGAAGGAUCGGCCCGCGUUAGAUUAGGUAGUUGGUGGGGUAAUGGCCUACCAAGCCGACGAUCGAUAGCUGGUUUGAGAGGAUGAUCAGCCACACUGGGACUGAGACACGGCCCAGACUCCUACGGGAGGCAGCAGUGGGGAAUCUUAGACAAUGGGGGCAACCCUGAUCUAGCCAUGCCGCGUGAGUGAUGAAGGCCUUAGGGUUGUAAAGCUCUUUCAGCUGGGAAGAUAAUGACGGUACCAGCAGAAGAAGCCCCGGCUAACUCCGUGCCAGCAGCCGCCGUAAAAC
rnacentral:rRNA from 1 species